rnacentral:rRNA from 1 species
GAUGAACGCUGGCGGCGUGCCUAACACAUGCAAGUCGAGCGAACGGACGAGAAGCUUGCUUCUCUGAUGUUAGCGGCGGACGGGUGAGUAACACGUGGAUAACCUACCUAUAAGACUGGGAUAACUACGGGAAACCGGAGCUAAUACCGGAUAAUAUUUUGAACCGCGGGGUUCAAAAGUGAAAGACGGUCUUGCUGGCACUACUAGAUGGAUCCGAGCUGCAUUAGCUAGUUGGUAAGGUAACGGCUUACCAAGGCGAGGAUGCAUAGCCGACGUGAGAGGGGGAUCGGCCACACUGGAACGGAGACACGGUCCAGACUCCUACGGGAGGCAGCAGUAGGGAAUCUUCCGCAAUGGGCGAAAGCCUGACGCAGCAACGCCGCGUGAGUGAUGAAGGUCUUCGGAUCGUAAAGCUCUGUUACUAGGGAAGAACAUAUGUGUAAUUAAAUGUGCAGAUCUUGACGGUACCUGAUCAAAAAGCCCCGGCUAACUACGUG